rnacentral:rRNA from 1 species
UACAGAGGAUGCAAGCGUUAAUCGGAAUUACUGGGCGUAAAGCGUGCGUAGACGGUUAUGUAAGUCGGGUGUGAAAGCCCCGGGCUCAACCUGGGAAUGCCAUUCGAGACUGCAUAGCUAGGGUGCGGAAGAGGGAAGCGGAAUUUCCGGUGUAGCGGUGAAAUGCGUAGAUAUCGGAAGGAACACCAGUGGCGAAAGCGGCUUCCUGGUCCAGCACCGACGUUCAGGCACGAAAGCGUGGGGAGCAAACAGG